UACGUAGGGGGCAAGCGUUGUCCGGAAUCAUUGGGCGUAAAGCGCGUGUAGGCGGCUUGGCAAGUCCGCUGUGAAAACUCGAGGCUCAACCUCGAGAUGUCGGUGGAAACUGCCUGGCUAGAGUCCGGAAGAGGAGUGUGGAAUUCCUGGUGUAGCGGUGAAAUGCGCAGAUAUCAGGAAGAACACCUAUGGCGAAGGCAGCACUCUGGGACGGUACUGACGCUGAGACGCGAAAGCGUGGGGAGCGAACAGG
rnacentral:rRNA from 1 species